GCCAAGAAUAAUAUCUCCGAACAUUCACCACAGCCAUUGACGUGCAACAAAACGCCAAUAAUAUUCUCUCCGAACACCCACCACGGCCAUUUGCAUCCACCGGAAACCGCAAACAACAAUCCGCCGCAAUCUUAUUCGCCUUCAUAUUCCUCUUUUACCGUUCAUUAAUUCAUUCUGUCCGUCCCUUAUUUGGCAAAUUAUUUCAUUGUUUUCAUCUGUAUUUUAUAUUCGGCCCUUUAAAUUCAUUUAAACCUUCUAGAAGGGGAGGUUGAGGACGGUUCCAAGAGGUUACAGCAGUUCCACUAUUAUAACCCCACUACCGUGAUACAAGAAACUACCAUUAGAGUGUUCUACAGAAUCAGAAGAGGAAUAGCAAGACCGAGAGUAUCGCGUAUAUGUGCAUCAAUCGAUGGUACGAGCUCGGUUGAUUAUUUAGGCCUUGAUCUGAUCCUUCCAAGUUCUGAAGCAAAUUAAUCAAAAUUGCAAACAACGCUCAUUCUGGCUCAGUUACAAGCAUUGUUAUGCACAAUUGGGGGCAAUUGCUUUGGCAAUUCUUCACAUUUACAGGCAUCUUCUGAAUUACACGGAACCGACAUCUAUACGAGCCCUUUAUCAUAAGAUGUAUUUUUUAUGGUUCGGUAUCACAAUCCAGAUUAUGUGGUUGAGGUGAAUCCUGAGGUUGUUGGAGAUAUAAAAAAAUUGGCUUAAGAUUUGUGGGAAAAGAUGAAAGUGCUUGACAAUGGAGAACUUCCAAGCUAUCCAUUCUAUGUGGGAGUACAGUUCAUCCUGAAUAUAAAUCGCGACCUGGGAAGUGUUCGACCCUAUUUAUUGGUUAUGUGGUUUCAAGACGAAGAUGCCAUCAUGUGUUGUAUCCACGGUACUACGGCAAAAGAUUAGUUCAUGGUGCAACAUUCCCCAACUAUUUGGUUUCAAUGUUAGGGAUCUACAUCUACUACAAAUUCACAGCACUUUAAAGCUUAAAUGUAUCAGAACACAAAAAGAGAUUGAUUAGAGUGGUGAUUUUAGCCACAUGUAGGAUGAUUUGGAAGGAACAAAAUGAAGUUAAUUUUGCCGGAAAACGGGUCAACAUCAACAGGAUUUUGGAGAAGUUCAAGCAAUGACAUACCUUUGGGUCAAGAAUAGAGCAAGGCGAAACGACAUAGAGUUGGCUAAUUGGGUGGCGUUUAAUAUUUCGACAAUGUGAAUGUAAUUUGGUCUUACCCUGUAGGUUUGCUGGGUGAUGUAAUGUAUUUGUCGAUCUAGCAACUUGCUAGUGACAAUACUCUGUACAUAUUUGGUGAUAUGAAAUGAAUGUUGUUUGCCA
rnacentral:lncRNA from 1 species